CGUUGUGGUGGUUUUCUUUUUGGCCCACUUGUUAAGUUUUCAAAUGGUCCUGACUCUGCCACAGUUAUACAUAGGAGCUGGCAAAGGCUGAAUGACAAAAAGAUCUCUUUCUAGCCUUUCCCGAAUCAGAGAUUGGCUCCUACAUGU
ensembl:snoRNA